rnacentral:rRNA from 1 species
GCUAGUUGUAUUAACUAUUAGUUAAUACAAGAUCGACUAUGUCGACUAAAGUUCUAGGUAGAAUAAUGAUGAUGACAAUUUUCUACCUAUAUGUCUUGACCAAAUCUCGUGCCAGCAGUCGCGGUAAUACGUGAAAGACUAGUGUUAUUCAUCUUAAAUAGGUUUAAAGGGUACCUAGACGGUUUAUCUAGCCCAAAACAGGGUACGGAUUUUCUAGAGUUUUAUGUGAGGAGGGGAGUACUCAUAGAGUAGAGAUGAAAUUUUGUGAUACUAUGAGGAAACUGGUGGCGGCGAAAGCAACCUUCUAUGUAUAAACUGACGUUGAGGGACGAAGGCUUGGGUAGCAAAUAGGAUUAGAUACCCUAGUAGUCCAAGCAGACAAUUCUGAAUGCCAUAGAUUAGAUUUUUUUGGUCUAUAAAUGAAAGUGUAAGCAUUCCACCUUAGGAGUAAUGUGGCAACACAGGAACUGAAAUCAUUAGACCGUUUCUGAAACCAGUAGUGAAGUAUGUUAUUUAAUUUGAUAGUCCUCAAAAAACCUUACCACAACUUGAAUGUUAUUUAAUUAAUACAAGCGUUGCACGGCUGUCUUCAGUUAAUGUCGUGAGAUUUUGGUUAACUCCCUUAAUUAACGUAAACCCAUACUUU